rnacentral:rRNA from 1 species
GGAUUAGAUACCCUGGUAGUCCACGCCGUAAACGAUGUCAACUAGCCGUUGGGACUCUUGAAGUCUUAGUGGCGCAGCUAACGCACUAAGUUGACCGCCUGGGGAGUACGGCCGCAAGGUUAAAACUCAAAUGAAUUGACGGGGGCCCGCACAAGCGGUGGAGCAUGUGGUUUAAUUCGAAGCAACGCGAAGAACCUUACCUACUCUUGACAUCCUGCGAACUUGGUAGAGAUACCUUGGUGCCUUCGGGAACGCAGUGACAGGUGCUGCAUGGCUGUCGUCAGCUCGUGCCG